GCAAUCGCUACUAUGAGCCAGGGGGAUCCAUUCGGGACUUUUGUUCGGUUUUUACAGAUUUGUGAAUUGACUGACCGCACACGCUGAAUUCAUGGAACUGUUUUGGGGAGAAGCCGCAUGUGUGAUCGGUAAACGGGACCCUCCACACUUUUUCAGAACCCCUAAACCGAUCUGGGUGAAAUUUGGAUAUGUUUGUCUCCCAG